UCUCAGUCAGACAUUAGAAAGAUCAAAGAAAUGCUUGAUAAGAUUGAGGAGAUUCAGCAACAAGUUAAACAAAGUAUUACGAAGAAAAAGAAAUUACAAAUUAAAAAGAAAAAUAAAGGUAAAAAGAAGAUUGAACAAGAAAGAGAUUUGGAUGAUUCCAAAGACAAUAAUUCAGAAGAUAAUCCAGAAGAUUUUACUGAUGGAGGAGACUCAUUAGACAGUAUUGGCAGACAUAAUUAUGCAACAAGAUAAAGA
rnacentral:lncRNA from 1 species